UAUUCUGCCCCAUGGGGAAGGAUGAGAAGCUUCGACUAAGGUUCGACUCGAGCGCCAGCGAGAGAACGUUGCCACAGGCAACGGCCCGA
rnacentral:sRNA from 1 species